UUUAUUCUGUAAGUUAUGACUAAUUUGGGUUUCUUUCUAUCUUUCAUUUUAAAAAGUGGGGUCCAUGUGUUCAGACUAACUUCAAAGAACCUGAACUUUUUAUAGUAUCCAUUUGACUCUUCGUAGCAUUUUCAAAAUUAGUCUUCACAAGUUUCUCUAAUAACAAACGCUGUUUUAGCAAAUUAGAAAAGUGUAAACAAUCAAAUAGUAAUGCUGCUGUAGAAGACAUUAGAUAUGCCAUGAUGUCAAAUCCCUAAUUAUUGAUCAUUAGACUCUAUGAAACUCAAAAUAAAUUUUAUUCAAAUUUGGGUAUUGUGUGAAUUGUAAGCCAACCUAAUUAUUUAACCUCUUGGUUAAUUACAAUUAGUGAAAAUUUAUUUCUUCUCUUCCAGGAGUACUGUUAACAUAAUAAAGAAAAUUGCCACCGUAUGGUUUUAAUACCUUUUGUUUCCUCCCAGUUCUGAGCUGUCUGUGUGCUGGUGUGAUCACCCCAGUAUAAAUUAGAGUACCUUAAGGGUUUCUGUAAGUUUUAUAUUGGAUGCCAGCGGCACUAGAGGCUGACAUGGCAACUGGGAAUUAGCAGGAUAGAAGAGCCCUACCCAUGUCUCCUUUUUUUCUGGUCACACGUUCUUUGCCAGAGGUACAGAGGACUUGCUAUUCUGGCUCUGCACAACAGAAGAAUUCUCUUUUGUGGGAGUGAUCGCCCUGUGACCAUCAACACCCUUGACUUGACAUUGCUAUGAUUCAAAACAUAUGUCGUCUUAAUCUGGAAAAGAUCAGAAGUUUCAUUUUCAUGAAACUGUCUUCAUUUCAUAUUCUAAAAAUCCUGUCCAAUGCCUCGCAAGCCACAAAAUCAUGGGUAGAAGUAAAACUGUUAAGGGACACCGCUGCAUUUAUCAUAGAUCUGAGGAUUCUGUGGUCAUAGAAAGGUCUGUCCCCUAGCACAUCCUCAUUAUGUUCUGUUGUGCAACACUUACAUUGUUUUCUAUUUUUUUUAUAUUAUAGUUUCAGUGUACAGUAGGUUACAGUGUAGGUAAACCAAUGACAUCCUAAGCCUUGGUAAACUUGGGUCUUUGUCAUGGUACAAGUGGAAAGGUAAUCACUUUUCACAUUAUUCACUACAGCAGUAGUCCUUAAUGGACCAACAUGCCCAAAGCCAAAAAUGCCUUGGAGAUCUGGGCAUUCACCUCACAGCUGUUUGCUUUUUGUACUCUUUCCACCCUAAGUCUGAAGUGAGAGGGAUAGGAAUCUCAAGGCUCUUUAGAAGAGGAGGGAACAGCUAAGUCUGACCAAAAACUCCUUGAGUCAUCAAUACCAACGUCUGAUCUAAGUCAUACCAAUGAAAUCCAUUAAUUUGUCUGUUAUCUGAUGUUGAAUACAUUCCCUUGGAUGAUAUCUGUGUAAUCUUUUCUCUGUGGUAUCCUCUUUGCUGCUAUCAUCAAGGCUCAAGAAAAAGUAGGCCCUAAAGUGAUUCAAGGAGCAAAAGAAAAGCUGAUUGAAUUUCCUCUCUCUAUGCAUUAUUUCAAUCUAGACAGGAUUUGGACUCCUCUGGAAAAUAUCAUUUUUCUGGUGUGAUGGUCCCAUCUAGAUCAUGUUUUGCUGGAGAUUUCCUUUGCACUAUCAAUUCUGUCUUCAUUAAAAUGGACAUUCACAGUUUAGGUUGUGGGAUACUCAUCUGGGCCUGUUGGUUAUUCAAGACCUUUGAAGACUAAUGGAGGUCAUAUGGCACACAACUUUUGGGCCUGUAAAUUGCUCUCUGAAUGUUGCUCCUCUGAUCAAAUCUAUCCUCGAGCCUGAAUGAGAUCAGCUGUUGGAUGAAGAACAGCUGACUGAAGAAAAACUGGACAAGUAGAUGAUGCUAAUGAGGAGAGUGAAGUGUUCUGAGGAACUAGUUAAUGCCUUACCAGUCAGCGAGAGGCUUUCCCAUCAUCAAAUUGGUAUGCAGCCUGAGUCUUGGUGAACUUGCUGAUGCUGGUUACCCAAAUAGCAACAACCAGAAUGAACUGCUUCUGCCUACUGUUGUCCAGGACACUCCACCUCAUCUUGAUUUAUGAAUUGUUGGCCACAGCAACCUGUACAUUGAAGUCCAGUCUCUUCCUGUAUCACCGUGUAUCUGGGAAUGAAACUGCAGAUGCUAAGGAAACUGCAGUUGUUCCUGAACACAGCAGCCUGCCUACUGAGCAACACAAGCUGACAAGAACACAUCCAUCUGGUGUGUUGGUCACUUCACUGAGUGCUCAUUUAUCAGUCAGGUUUUAAGGUUCUGGCUUUAAAUAACCAAGGCCUGGUGCAUGUGCUCUCUUCCUCCCUCUGACCCUGACAUAACUGCAAGGAUGAUGGAACUCUCCACACUCCCUUUUAAAGGAUCUAAAAUGACUAUAAACCCUACAGGUCCUAAAGAAAAAAUGCAAAACACAUUUCUUUGCCCUUUCCCAUAAUAGAGAUAAUA